CCUACGCCUGAUGCUUUCCCAAU
rnacentral:miRNA from 12 species